rnacentral:rRNA from 1 species
AUGUCCAAGGCCAACGUCCUGCUCGUGCCCUACCCGUGCCAAAGCCACAUAAACCCCAUGCUACAGUUCGCCAAGAGGCUGGCGUCCAAGGGCGUGCCCGCCGCCCUCAUCGUCACCCGCUUCAUCGCCAGAACUGUCCGGUUCUACGCAGGCCCGGUGCGCGUCGAGUCCAUCUCCGAUGGCCACGACGAAGGCGGCCUCCCGUCAGCGGCGAGCGUCGACGAGUAUGUGGAGAGGCUGGAGUCCAAUGGGUCGGCGUCCCUGGCCGCGCUCAUCGAGGAAGGCCACUUCACGCACGUGGUGUACGACUCGUUCAUGCACUGGGUGGCGCGCACGGCGCGGGGGCUGGGUCUGUCGGCCGUCCCCUUCUCCACCCAGUCGUGCGCGGCGAGCGCCGUGUAUUACUACGUCAACUCCGGGCUGCUAGAUGCGCCGCCGCCGGGAGACGCGGGGGGCAGGAGCGAGCCGUUCGCCGGGUUGCCGGGGCUGGAGAGGUGGGAGUUCCCAUCCUUCGUGUUCCACGACGCGUCGUACCCGGCGCUCACCGCCCCCGCGCUCGCCCAGUUCGCUGAUCGGGACGCGGGUGACUGGGUUCUCGUCAACUCGUUCGAUGAGUUGGAGUUCGAGGUUCUGGAUGGGCUGAAGCACCACUUCAAGGCCCGAGCCAUCGGGCCGUGCGUUCCUCUGCCGGCCGUCGAUGAUUCCGUCGACGUCGACUGCUUUACCUAUGGCGCCAACCUCCUCAGCCCGGAGGACACCUGCAUCAAGUGGCUGGACGCCAAGUCCCCCCGCUCCGUCGUCUACGUCUCCUUCGGCAGCAAUGCGUCCAUCGGCGCCGCCCAGAUGGAGGAGCUGGCUCGCGGCCUCCUCGCCACCGGCAAGCCGUUCCUGUGGGUCGUCAGGGCCGGCGAGGAGGCGCAGCUCCCGCGCCACCUCCUGGACGCGGCGACGGCGUCGGGCGACGCGCUCGUCGUGCGCUGGAGCCCGCAGCUGGACAUCCUGGCGCACCGCGCCGUGGGCUGCUUCGUCACGCACUGCGGGUGGAACUCCACGCUGGAGGCGCUCGGCUUCGGUGUGCCGAUGGUGGCGCUGCCACUGUGGACCGACCAGCCGAUCAACGCUCGCUUCAUCGAGGAGGCGUGGGGCGCCGGCGUGCGCGCGCGCCGCGACGCGUCCGCGGGGGUGUUCCCGCGCGGCGAGAUCGAGCAGUGCGUGCGCGCCGUCAUGGAAGACGAGGACGGCAGGGCGGCUUCCGCCCGCGCGGCGGCACGGCGUCUGAGAGACGCGGCGCGGGGGGUGCUCGCUCCCGGCGGCUCCUCCGACAAGAAACUGGGAGAGUUCUUGGAGUUCGCGUGCGCCGUCAUGGACGAUGGCGCCACCGAGUCCGAACCUUCCCCGCGCGAUGCGGCCCGUCGGUGGAGCGAGGCUGCGCGCGCCGCGGUCGCGCCCGGCGGCAGCUCCGACCAGAACCUGGAGGAGUUCGUGAACUAUCUGCGGGCUAGCGCCGGGGAGAAGUGA